CACACAAUGUGUCUGACCUCUGCGGAUCAUCCACACGAAGCUCCCGAUCUGAUCAGCUCCUCACAAGUGCUAGCUCGUUGUAGAGCCCUUUCGACGGUCGAUGCUGAUUGAACUCCUUUGAUCGAUGUCUACCGACUCUUCGAAUGCUCUGGAUCAUCAGCAAGUGUGCUUGAGAGGUUGAUGAAUCUCUCCCUAAAAUUUGGUGGGCUCACGACACUCGUAGCUCAUCUUCUCACUUUUCGAACCCCAGG
rnacentral:lncRNA from 1 species